CGCGCGCCCCGAGCCGUCCCCGCCCCCACAAUCGUGCCUUGGGGGCGGGGGCGGCUCGCUGGGGCCGAUUUUCGGGGGUCUUCGAGUGCCCGUUUGUCUGUCGUGGUCCACGUCGCCCUCCCUAGGGUCCCUUCACGCAGCGGGACCCCUCCCCUGGAUAAAUUCAGAUUUUUCCUGUGGAAACUGAAACUUACCCUAAGGAAAAACACUACUCCUGGCAGUUAAAAUUCAGAAACACAUCUCAUGUAUGAACUAAAAUGUGGAUCUCCCAAGGAAAAAACGAUUUCUUUGGUGGUCAAGUUCGGUAAACUGUUUCGCCUGUGAGGUAAAAUGUGGACUUACCUAGCAAAAAUAUUUC
rnacentral:lncRNA from 10 species